rnacentral:rRNA from 1 species
CAGCCGCCGCGGUAAUACGUAGGGUGCGAGCUUUACUCGGAUUUACUGGGCGUAAAGCGUGCGCAGGCGGCCCGUUAAGACAGGUGUGAAAUCCCUGGGCUCAACCUAGGAAUUGCGCUUGUGACUGGCGGGCUCGAGUACGGUAGAGGGGAGUGGAAUUCCUGGUGUAGCAGUGAAAUGCGUAGAGAUCAGGAGGAACACCGAUGGCGAAGGCAGCCCCCUGGGCCUGUACUGACGCUCAUGCACGAAAGCGUGGGGAGCAAACAGGAUUAGAUACCCUGGUAGUCCACGCCUGAAACGAUGGGUACUAGCCGUUUGGUGCGCGAGAGCGCUGAGUGGCGAAGCUAACGCGUGAAGUACCCCGCCUGGGGAGUACGGCCGCAAGGUUGAAACUUAAAGGAAUUGGCGGG